rnacentral:rRNA from 1 species
GAUGAACGCUAGCUACAGGCUUAACACAUGCAAGUCGAGGGACCGGCGCACGGGUGAGUAACACGUAUCCAACCUGCCCUUUACUCGGAGAUAGCCUUUCGAAAGAAAGAUUAAUACCCGAUAUAAAGUAUGGGGAUGCGUUCCAUUAGGUUGUGGGUGAGGAAACGGCUCACCAAGCCUUCUAUGGUUAGGGGUUCUGAGAGGAAGGCCCCCCAGAUUGGAACAGGGAUACGGUCCAAACUACUACGGGAGGAAGCAGUGAGGAAUAUUGGUCAAGGGUCGCUAGCCUGAACCAGCCAAGUAGCGUGAAGGAUGAAGGCUUAUGGGUCGUAAACUUCUUUUAUAUAAGAAUAUGUAUUAUAUGAAUAAGGAUCGGCUAACUCCGUGCCAGCAGCCGCGGUAAUAC